rnacentral:rRNA from 1 species
UACGGGGGGCAAGGCGUUGUUCGGAAUUACUGGGCGUAAAGGGCUCGUAGGCGGCCAACUAAGUCGGACGUUGAAAUCCCCAGGCUACAACCGUGGAACUGCGUCCGAUACUGGAUGGCUUGAAUCGGGAGAGGGAUGCAGAUUCAGGUGUAGCGGUGAAAUGCGUAGAUAUUCGGAAGAACACCAGUGGCGAAGGCGGACUCACUGGACUGGUAUUGACGCUGAGGUACGAAAGCGAU